rnacentral:rRNA from 1 species
GACGAACGCUGGCGGCGUGCUUAACACAUGCAAGUCGGGCGGUAAGGCCCUUUCGGGGGUACACGAGCGGCGAACGGGUGAGUAACACGUGGGUGACCUGCCCUCAGCUCUGGGAUAAGCCUGGGAAACCGGGUCUAAUACCGGAUAUGACUCCAUGACGCAUGUUGUGGGGUGGAAAGCCUUGUGCGGCUGAGGAUGGGCCCGCGGCCUAUCAGCUUGUUGGUGGGGUGAUGGCCUACCAAGGCGACGACGGGUAGCCGGCCUGAGAGGGCGACCGGCCACACUGGGACUGAGACACGGCCCAGACUCCUACGGGAGGCAGCAGUGGGGAAUCUUGCGCAAUGGGCGAAAGCCUGACGCAGCGACGCCGCGUGAGGGAUGACGGCCUGGUGUAA